GAUGAAGAACGUAGCGAAAUGCGAUAAGUAAUGUGAAUUGCAGAAUUCAGUGAAUCAUCGAAUCUUUGAACGCACCUUGCGCCCUUUGGCCAUUCCGAAGGGCAUGCCUGUUUGAGUAUCAUGAACACCUCAACUCUCAUGGCUCGCCAUGAUGAGCUUGGAUUUGGGGGUCUUGCUGGCCUGUGGUCGGCUCCUCUCAAAUGGAUCAGCUUGCCAGUGUUUGGUGGCAUCACAGGUGUGAUAACUAUCUGCGCUUGUGGUUUUCCAUCAGAUAACCUUCAGUGAUGGAGGUUCGCUGGAGCUCAUAAACGUCUCCCCUAAGCGGGGACAGCCCUUUGAAUGUUUGAUCUCAAAUCAGGUAGGACUACCCGCUGAACUUAAGCAUAACAAUAAGCGGAGGA
rnacentral:misc_RNA from 1 species